rnacentral:lncRNA from 1 species
GUUUUUUCUACAAAAUUUUAGCAGAUUUUUAAAAAAACGACGAUAGUUUAAUUGCUUUAUUUUACCAUAAAGAUCAACCCCAAAAUACACAACUGGCGUUUUAAUGUGUAGCUGAAACUCACAGGUUUCAUUUAAGCCCUUGGUGAAAUCUGUUGAUAGUCAAAUGACAGAGAACUUAAGGUUUUAAUCUAAAUUUUACGCAAAAAAGUGCUUAUGACCCGAAUUCGGGUCAUAGGAACGGUAAAGAGUUAAUUGACGUUUAACUCUUUACCAUUCGGCAAAAAUUGCACUAUUUUUGCCGCAGAGGAAC